rnacentral:tRNA from 1 species
AGUUUUAUAUUCAAAUAGAAAAUGAUAUUAAAUUGCAAAUUUAAAGGUGAAUUUUAAUUCUAAAACUU